CCUCUCUCACCUCUCUUCUCUCCUCCACUGAUAAACAACCAACCACAUCCUCCUCUUCUAUUUUCCUGUGGAUGUACCUCCUCUAACAGACACUUAUCUUCCUCACCCAGUCCUUCAGAGGUACCUCCUCUAACACAAACACUCAUUUUCCUCACCCAGUCUGUCCUUCAGAGGUACCUCCUCUAACACAAACACUCAUUUUCCUCACCCAGUCUGUCCAUCAGAGGUACCUCCUCUAACACAAACCCUUCCCUUCCUCACCCAGUCUGUCCAUCAGAGGUACCUCCUCUAACACAAACCCUUCCCUUCCUCACCCAGUCUGUCCAUCAGAGGUACCUCCUCUAACACAAACCCUUCCCUUCCUCACCCAGUCUGUCCAUCAGAGGUACCUCCUCUAACACAAACACUCAUCUUCCUCACCCAGUCUGUCCAUCAGAGGUACCUCCUCUAACACAAACACUCAUCUUCCUCACCCAGUCUGUCCAUCAGAGGUACCUCCUCUAACACUAACACUCAUCUUCCUCACCCAGUCUGUCCAUCAGAGGUACCUCCUCUAACACAAACACUCAUCUUCCUCACCCAGUCUGUCCAUCAGAGGUACCUCCUCUAACACAAACACUCAUCUUCCUCACCCAGUCUGUCCAUCAGAGGUACCUCCU